AAUCACAAAGAAAAAAUACAAUCCACAACAUCAGUAACCGAUCAUAGAAAAGGAGUACAAUUUGUAUCCUUUCUUUUUUUUCCUUUACUUUUUUUUUAAU
rnacentral:ribozyme from 14 species